CCCUUAGAUGUUCUGGGCCGCACGCGUGCUACACUGAGUGGAUCAGCGGGUCAGGUUGCGCGAAAGCGUUUCCUAAUCUUUAAAUCCGCUCGUGAUGGGGAUUGACGGUUGCAAUUUUCUGUCAUGAACGAGGAAUACCUUGUAAGCGCGGGUCAUCAUCCCGCGCUGAAUACGUCCCUGCCCUUUGCACACACCGCCCGUCGCUCCUACCGAUUGAGUGGUCCGGUGAGGCUUUGGGAUCUGAGCGGAAAGAGCGUUUCGCUGUUUCUGCUCGGAGAACUCAGUCGAACCUUAUCAUUUAGAGGAAGGAGAAGUCGUAACA
rnacentral:rRNA from 1 species